rnacentral:rRNA from 1 species
CCUAUACAUGCAAGUCGAGCGGACAGAAGGGAGCUUGCUCCCGGAUGUUAGCGGCGGACGGGUGAGUAACACGUGGGUAACCUGCCUGUAAGACUGGGAUAACUCCGGGAAACCGGAGCUAAUACCGGAUAGUUCCUUGAACCGCAUGGUUCAAGGAUGAAAGACGGUUUCGGCUGUCACUUGCAGAUGGACCCGCGGCGCAUUAGCUAGUUGGUGGGGUAAUGGCUCACCAAGGCGACGAUGCGUAGCCGACCUGAGAGGGUGAUCGGCCACACUGGGACUGAGACACGGCCCAGACUCCUACGGGAGGCAGCAGUAGGGAAUCUUCCGCAAUGGACGAAAGUCUGACGGAGCAACGCCGCGUGAGUGAUGAAGGUUUUCGGAUCGUAAAGCUCUGUUGUUAGGGAAGAACAAGUGCGAGAGUAACUGCUCGCACCUUGACGGUACCUAACCAGAAAGCCACGGCUAACUACGUGCCAGCAGCCGCGGUAAUACGUAGGUGGCAAGCGUUGUCCGGAAUUAUUGGGCGUAAAGGGCUCGCAGGCGGUUUCUUAAGUCUGAUGUGAAAGCCCCCGGCUCAACCGGGGAGGGUCAUUGGAAACUGGGAAACUUGAGUGCAGAAGAGGAGAGUGGAAUUCCACGUGUAGCGGUGAAAUGCGUAGAGAUGUGGAGGAACACCAGUGGCGAAGGCGACUCUCUGGUCUGUAACUGACGCUGAGGAGCGAAAGCGUGGGGAGCGAACAGGAUUAGAUACCCUGGUAGUCCACGCCGUACACGAUGAGUGCUAAGUGUUAGGGGGUUUCCGCCUCUUACUGCUGCAGCUAACGCAUUAAGCACU